rnacentral:snoRNA from 1 species
CUGCACGUAGCACCCCGGGCUUCCCUGAAACUGUUAAUAAGAUGACGGAAAAAGCCCCAAUGCUCGUGCUAGAUCAGAUAUAACGCCGUCAAGUGUUGCAGUUCAGCCUUUUGUACCUUUUUUAUGGCCGUUUCUGUGUCAAAUCGACGGCCACAUCA